rnacentral:lncRNA from 1 species
GGAACUUAAGAAACAUGUAUGGUAGAAACCCUAACAUACUCACUGGAGUCCUCCAAAACCCACAUGCCACCUGAGUGUAAACCACCACUACACCACCGGAGACGCUCCGACCACCACCACGCCACCGGAGACGAUGCUUAUUAUACACUCAGAUCUUCGAUUUGAAGCAAUUACAUUCUGAUCAUUCUGUCAUGUUAAUCGGAAAUCCAUAGUGUUUUCGUUGUUGUGAUGUUCAUGAUUUCAGCUUCAGAUCUAGAUUUGAAUCCGCAUUUCAUGUUGUACACGCUUAUUAUACACUCAGAUCUUCGAUAUCGAAAAUGGCUGGAAAGGGUGGUAAGGGUCUGUUGGCUGGAAAACAUCUGCGGCUGCAGCUAACAAGGAAAAGGAUAAGAAGAGACCGAUGUCUCGGUCUGCUAGAGCUGGUCUACAGACAUCACGUACAAGGUUAUCCUUCUAUCCACAUCUUACGCAGGGGAGUGAUAUAAAUUCAGGAGCAAGUGGUAAGGAGAACAGAGGAAAAUUUCUGAUGACCACAACACCACAAUUGAUUUCUUGCCAUUUUCCAGCUUAAAACGCAGACACCAUGGAUUCAUCAGGCAUUGGUGAGUCGGACACUACGGGCCCUAUGCCCAUCGUAUCAGACGACCGAGUAUCAUCGGAGCAUGAGGUACACACUUCGGGUGUUACCAGCACGGAUGAGGAUGAUUUUCAGCCCUUCGCGCUACCUGAUGCUGUCAACGAGCCCGCUGAUAGCCCUCUUGCGGGGAUUUGCCGCUCGUGGAGAUCCCUGCCCCUAUACCUCUUGCCGCUUAUCCUGUUCUUGAUAUGCUCCUCGACGCCGACGCUGAUUACG